UAUACCCUACGGGAGGCAGCAGUGAGGAAUAUUGGUCAAUGGGCGGGAGCCUGAACCAGCCACGUCGCGUGAGGGAAGACGGUCCUAUGGAUUGUAAACCUCUUUAGGCGGGGAGCAAUGCCGGGCACGCGUGCCCGGAGGGAGAGUACCCGCAGAAUAAGCAUCGGCUAACUCCGUGCCAGCAGCCGCGGUAAUACGGAGGAUGCGAGCGUUAUCCGGAUUUAUUGGGCGUAAAGGGCUCGUAGGCGGUUCGUCGCGUCCGGUGUGAAAGUCCAUCGCUUAACGGUGGAUCCGCGCCGGGUACG
rnacentral:rRNA from 1 species